rnacentral:piRNA from 1 species
GCAUUUAGAGCUUCUGGUUCACCUU